AAAUAAUCUACAAUAUAAUUUAUAUAAGA
rnacentral:guide_RNA from 1 species